UACAGAGGUCUCAAGCGUUGUUUCGGGAUUCAUUGGGCGUAAAAGGGUGCGUAGGUGGCGCUGUAAGUCGGGUGUGAAAUUUCGGAGCUUAACUCCGAAACUGCAUUCGAUACUGCGGUGCUUUGAGGACUGGAGAGGAGACUGGAAUUCAUGGUGUAGCAGUGAAUGCGUAGAGAUCAUGAGGAAGACCAGUGGCGAAGGCGGUCUCUGGACAGUUCCUGACACUGAGGCACGAAGGCCAGGAGCAACGG
rnacentral:rRNA from 1 species